UGUCUAAUGGUUUGACGAUCAUUACCCACUGACCAUUUGGUGCAGUUCUAAUACUCUGAAAGCACAUCCAUUGGAGUGGUCCUACUAGCUAGCACGGUGCACUGGACACAAUGGACCAACACUCUGACUCAGGGGAAAGGUACAGGACACCUCAACGAAUUGUGUGGCUCUGUUGUCACUCAGUCCAGUGUCUGCUGUGUCAGCAAGUACCGUUUCAGCUCAGGUGACAACUACCUAUACUGUAUGAUCAUGAUCAGGUGAUAAUGCCUCUCAAUGUGUUGCCCCCCUCCAAUUACAUAAUUUAUUAUACUCAUUUUAGACUAUAAAGUAUCAUCCAAUAGCUCUAUCCAAUAGUUUAUGAUACCGUAGAGCUAGAAAUAAAUUAACGCUAUUUUGCGAGCGUAUUUUUGUAUUUCAAGGCCUGUACAAUCCAUUGAAAUCACGGUUAUUCAAUAUUACCAAGCAUUUAAGCUCACAUGAUUAUAAUUAUUUCCACUGAUUUUGAUUCAGAUUGAGAACAUACUCCAUGACUCUGUGCACGACAUGCUACGUGGGUGAACUGCAACAAGUCACAAACGUGGGAGGAAGGGGAUCUUUUAGCCUCGAUCUCAGGCCGCACUGAAGAUAAGGUUGAUGAGGCCAUACCACUAUCUAUGACGAGGCCUAGCAUAUGCCAUUACCUACUCAGCGUGAAUGUGAUCUGCUGCCAGCAUGUGCCAGUCCAGUGGCUGUGCUAUAGGAUAAGAAUGGAUGAAUGCAUGAAAGGAUGGAGGUGAGGGGAGAUGCUUCGUAGAGACGGCACCUGUUGUAGGCUACUGAUAAUAAUCACGAGGUUCAUUGUUUUGUUCAUAUUUCCCGAUAGUAUUGCUUGCCCAUGUGUUAGACCUUAUUGGUGGAGGGAGGUCAAUAUUGAGCAGUCAUAGCUAGCUGAGUUGGCAUGGGCUCAGAGAUUUCAUUUGUCAUAAACUACAGUAUGGUGUAAUUGUUUAUCCAUGCAUGUAUGGACAUGUGGUACACUAUUGGAGGUGACCUUUCACUAAUUAUGACCUUUCAAUGACAUUCUACCAAAUUGCUUUGUUUACUGUGAAAGGGGUGGAAUGUGACACCUCUCUGAAAGGGGGAGGAUCUGAGCAAUGAUUAUGUUUACUGGGAAACAAGGCUGAAAGGGGCGAAAUUUCCUCUUUAUGUGUGGUCCCACUGUGUACACUGUAGCUAAGUGGUUGACUUGUGUUUUCUGUAAUAAGGUUUCCAUUUUGUGAAUGUCGGCGUUUGUGUAAUAGUACUGUGAAAUGUGGGGAUGAUUACGUUUACUGAACAUGUUAAGUAUAAACACGUUUACUUGUGAUACUCAUUUCAAUGAGACGAAUCUAAUAAUAUCACACCCUCACACAACACACACCCGCCCACACACAGGCACUGGGCGUACUACUGUUCAAGCUGUUCUUCAUGGAUACUCCAUUUGGUGACAACCCUCUAGCCAUAGUCAGUGCUCAGUACAGCAUUCCUGAAGACUCUCCUUACACACAAGACCUGAGAGUGACAACCCUCUAGCAGUGCUCAGUACAGCAUUCCUGAAGACUCUCCCUACACACAAGACCUGCACAACUUGAGAGGCUAUCUGUUGACCUCUGACCCUGAGCUUCGUCCCAGUAUCUGGCAAGUGUGUGAGGUGGUGUCCAGGAUCACAGGAACCACCAACCAUGUCACUAAUGUCUUUGUGAGUACCUUACUAUUAGUAUACCCUGUGUAUGUAUAGUGGUGGGUAGACCAACAGUGGCUGUAUUAUAGAGGGUGGUCUGCUAACACAGGUCCAAACACAUGCUAUGGAGACUUUGGGGAACAUUAAUCUGGCUUAUUGAUUAUACAGCAGAGGCUGACUCUGGGUCCCUUAUCAAACCUGGCUGUAUUAUAGAGGGUGACUACAAUAGACACACUCCACUCUAUAUACUGCUUAUUGAACCUCCCACCCCUCACACACACACACACACACCCACACACACACACACACACACACACACACACACCUCACAGACUGGCAGUCCAUUUCCUACGGAUGACUUUGGUAGCACUUCAUUUUUGACGGACGUUCCUCUACCCCGCCCACUCAUAAUCUGCUGACAAUGCAAGACGAGAUUUGUUUGGAGGGUUCAAAGGUUACGCCGACAAUGACAACUGUAGAUCAAUUUGGAGCAGUUCCUUUUAGCUGAAUUUUAAUAUUUAUUUUUCUGUGUGUUUAGUAUUAUUAUAAGUGUUGUUUUGUGUGUAGUAGGAUCACAUGACUCGACUAUUGACUGUACAUCUGUGCUAUUAUAAAUGGAUUUUUAUGCUUUUACAAUUGCAAUUAAUCA